CCGGCCGAGCAACGCCACCCAAACACCCCUAAAGAUCGUCAUUCUCUCCAAAAGAUCCAAAAACACCACCUUGAUUGGCGACUGCUUUGCUCCUCCUCCCCUUCGUGUGUUGUCGUGUGUUGCUACUGGGAAGCAAAUGAACCAUGGAGGGCUCACAAUAGAUCGACUGCCCAUCCUUUCCUCGUGAUUUCUCAGCCAUCAUCGGAGCUUCCCGUUAGCUGCCUUCGUUCCUUUCUUCCCGAUCUGUCGAAUCCCGUCGGCUGGAGCUUUGGGGGAAAUACACUUGCGUUCUUAAUCGGCUUCAGGUAACAUUUUAUUUUAUCCCCGAUGAUCAGAUUUUGUGUUGGAUCGAAAUUUUGAGUUUAUUGUUGUGUGAUUGUUUUAGGGUAUACUGGAGUUGGGGUUCUUUAAACCACGGGAAGCGAUGAACCCAUGUUUCCCUCUGCAAUUUCCGACUUCCUAUCAGCAGCGAUACCACAGGGACCGUAUUUGGUUGAUGUUUGUUCUACAUAUUCCAAUCAACAACCUUUUUCUCAGUUUGGUGGCUUAAUUUCGAAUUAUGAAGGUUGACGCCCCUUAAUUUAGGUUGGUAUAGUUUGGGUAUUAGAUGGUAUUUAAUUACUUUCAUUUAGAUUGCAUCGAGAUUGUAGGCGGAGGUUGCUCCGACACUCGAGUGGGGUUAGGAUGGUUAUUUCCUAUAGCAAUCAGGAGGCGACCUUGCUGCCUUGUUUCUAUUAUGCUGGUAACGAACAUGAAAGAGAAGGGGGAGGGAAAGGAGGUGGUUUGGUGGUCGGAGGUUGCUCCAGCAGUCGAGUGAGGUUGGGAUGGUUGUUUCCGGUGGAGAGAAGGUGGUGGCAGCAGGGGUGGUGUAGUGUGUGGGAUUUACGGUGGCAUUUUAGUGGCCGACGGGGUGUGGUGGCUGGCUCUAGAUCACCGGAGAGAGAGAGAGAGAGAGAGAGAGAGAGAGAGAGAGAGAGAGGUGGGACCUUUUUUAUUUUUUUAAUUGUUAAAAUAAAUAAAUAAAUAUUAAAUUUUAAGAAUAAUGAAAGAAAAAUGAAAAAUAAAUACCCCAAGGGUAUUAUAGUCAUUUUAAUUUUCGGAGGGACCAUUUUCACAUACAAACCACUCCAAAAGGACCACGAAUCAAAAAAAGUCACUGUUUGGACUUGUUUCCUGAAAAAAUGCAAACCACAGGGACUAUUUUUGCAGUUUUGUCUUUAAAAUAUAAAACCUAAAGGGAUUAAUUUGAANCCCUCUCUCUCUCUCUCUCUCUCUCUCUCUCUCUUAUUCCUUCAUUCAUCAGGUAGAAGACAUUCCUUCAUUCCUUCCCAUUUUUCUUCACCACCGACCAAGGAAGGUUGUCGGCCACCGGAGCUGCCUUUUCCUUCCUCUUCCGGCCGAGCAACGCCACCCAAACACCCCUAAAGAUCGUCAUUCUCUCCAAAAGAUCCAAAAACACCACCUUGAUUGGCGACUGCUUUGCUCCUCCUCCCCUUCGUGUGUUGUCGUGUGUUGCUACUGGGAAGCAAAUGAACCAUGGAGGGCUCACAAUAGAUCGACUGCCCAUCCUUUCCUCGUGAUUUCUCAGCCAUCAUCGGAGCUUCCCGUUAGCUGCCUUCGUUCCUUUCUUCCCGAUCUGUCGAAUCCCGUCGGCUGGAGCUUUGGGGGAAAUACACUUGCGUUCUUAAUCGGCUUCAGGUAACAUUUUAUUUUAUCCCCGAUGAUCAGAUUUUGUGUUGGAUCGAAAUUUUGAGUUUAUUGUUGUGUGAUUGUUUUAGGGUAUACUGGAGUUGGGGUUCUUUAAA
rnacentral:lncRNA from 1 species